rnacentral:misc_RNA from 1 species
CAGGAGGCUCUGGAAGAGGGCUAGAGGCAUCCAGUUGUGCAUCAUGAGUGUCCUCGGAUGAUAUGGGAGCAUUAUGUUGCUGGUAUACAUUCUCAGAUGAGAUGGGAGGUGGAUGUUGCUGGUAAAUGAUUUCCUCAUCAAUGAACUGGAAGAUAUCAUUAAGAACAAAGUAGCCCUUCUCCUGGGGAGCCAGGAAAAAGGUCUGCAUAAAUUUUCCCCUGCCACUGAAAUCCUUGUUUUUAACAGAACCAGAUAUCAUCACCAAAACACCCCCGUUCCAAGAUUCAAGAGAAUUGAUGGUCUUGACCUCAAUUGCAGUAAAAUUUAGGGACAUGACAAGAGUAUGGAUUUGCAGCAUUGUAGAAGCAGACUCGCUUGAAUCUCCAUCAACACGAAUCAUGGUGCUGGCAUCAGCGUAGAAUUGAUGAACAAGAUCAGGAUGUUGUUGAAGAACCUGAUAGUACUGUCCUACAAAGUAAGACCCCACCUGAACAGCACUAACAGGUCCUGGAUACGGACUAGCCAUUAUUUAAGCAAAACAAAAUUUCGCUUUUGCUGCCACAAAAGCGCGCAGCCAAGGAGAUCAAAGAUUCAAAAUAGCAGUCUUAGCUUGGUGGAGAUGAAGAUGAUGAUGGGGCCGCAGAUCCAACGGUGUGUUUCUUUAAACCCCGAGAAUUAGGGUUUAUGAUAAAUCUUGGGUUUUUGUAUUUAAACAAAACAAAACCGAUACUUUUAGAUUCUCACACGCACACACAGCGAGCUGGAGAGGAAGAGAGGGAUAAGAUCAUAAGAUAUGACUGCGAGAGAGGGUUUUACGCAGAGAGAGAUGCAAAGGAAGAUGAUAGAUCUAUG